CUUGGGACGGCACUGGUAGUGUGUCCGUGGCUGUGGGGCCGAGAGGUUAUACACGCUACCCGCCGCUCAGGUUCUUGUUGCCACCCUCUCCUUCCAGCCCAUACUACCACUACUACCAAAAACUGCUACUACUACCACUACACUCACACUACUAACACCACCUCCGGGCCAUGCCUACCACCCAUCACAUGGUUUACGGCUGGUCUGUGCACAUCCCACACGAACUGUUAUGCCUCUGAUAACACUGUCCUGGUAGUGAUGAGAGCGGCCGACUGUGCUUACUGAAUUGGCGGUGAAAGGUGCUAAGGUUACCGAUAGUUGUCGCGUCAGUCACAGAGGACAAGCGUUUCUCCGUAUAACAACGAAUUAUUGCCAAUUAAAACCAACCCAUCUUAAUUAAUUGUAUGAUUUUGCAGUGAUUAGUGUAUAGUAGUGAAUCAUUAGGCAUUUGUAUUUUAGAAAAGGGCCUUUGUCGGCAGUUGAAAAAGUCGAAUAUCCGAACACCGAGCUACUGAAGCAGGUGUAGCGUAACCCUGGUACAAGUGCUGUGGCUGUGCUGACUGACCUGACGUGUCCCGACCGAGGCGCAGGCGAAUUCCCAUCCGUCAGACAUCGAAUCAGGAUCCCACGGAAACAGACUUAAAUCCCACCGGCGAUGGAGUGCGGGGCGGUGCUACGUCUGCUGGGCAGGGGCAGGGCGGUCAAAGUGCCGCUCUGCUCCCUCACCCUCACCCCAGCUAUGGCCAGGCUCCCCAACGCCUUCUCUCAGGUACGGAGCGAUUUUGGUGCGCGUCUGGUCAUGUGGAGGAAAGGGUUCAAUACAUAGGUAAGUAGUUUAUCUAAAAAAAA